rnacentral:rRNA from 1 species
GACGAACGCUGGCGGCGUGCUUAACACAUGCAAGUCGUACGGUAAGGCCCUUUCGGGGGUACACGAGUGGCGAACGGGUGAGUAACACGUGAGUAACCUGCCCACAACUUUGGGAUAACGCUAGGAAACUGGUGCUAAUACUGGAUAUGUGCUCCUGCUGCAUGGUGGGGGUUGGAAAGCUCCGGCGGUUGUGGAUGGACUCGCGGCCUAUCAGCUUGUUGGUGGGGUAGUGGCCUACCAAGGCGGCGACGGGUAGCCGGCCUGAGAGGGUGACCGGCCACAUUGGGACUGAGAUACGGCCCAGACUCCUACGGGAGGAAGCAGUGGGGAAUAUUGCACAAUGGGCGCAAGCCUGAUGCAGCAACGCCGCGUGCGGGAUGACGGCCUUCGGGUUGUAAACCGCUUUCAGCAGGGACGAAGCUUUUUGUGACGGUACCUGCAGAAGAAGCACCGGCUAACUACGUG